rnacentral:rRNA from 1 species
UACGGAGGGUGCAAGCGUUAUCCGGAUUCACUGGGUUUAAAGGGUGCGUAGGAGGGCAGGUAAGUCAGUGGUGAAAUCCCCGAGCUUAACUUGGGAACUGCCGUUGAUACUAUCUGUCUUGAAUACCGUGGAGGUGAGCGGAAUAUGUCAUGUAGCGGUGAAAUGCUUAGAUAUGACAUAGAACACCAAUUGCGAAGGCAGCUCGCUAACACGAAUAUUGACUCUGAGGCGCGAAAGCGUGGGGAGCAAACAGGAUAGAA